rnacentral:lncRNA from 1 species
GUAUCAGGAGUCUGGGAAGCAAAGCCCUGCCUUGGCCAGAUGCAACCCCCUGGUAACAAGGCACAGAAAACAAGCUCAUCCUCUGGCAAGAAAAAUGGAGCAUCCCGUGGAAUCACACUGUUAAUUGCAACCAACAAAGCAGGAUGGUGGUCACUCUGGAACUGCUCACAGACAGAAAGAUUUGGCUAUGUUUGCACCGUGCAUGGCCACUUCCCGACAGCAUUAGUGGAAACUGCCUUUCCCCGGUGACCUUGCUGCUAAGCUGGAGACUGCCAGGGACUGUCACCUCCAAUGACACUGCUCAGAGGGUCCUUGUCAGAACAAUUACCACUGCAUUUCCCUGGUGCCUGCUCAGGUUCACUGGCUGCACUCCGGAGAGUGAAAAGGCAACUACUCUUACCCCUCAUUUAACUAAACCAUGCCGAGAGAGAAAGAAGUGCCUCUCCUCUCUCCUCCCUGCUGUGACCGGUGGCCGAAGGGCAGGGAACACCUUGGGCAGCAGAUCAAGACUGAUGUGA